rnacentral:rRNA from 1 species
CCUACGGGACCCAGCAGUAGGCAAUAUUGGGCAAUGGGCGGAAGUGGGGGGCACCGAAGCCGCGUGAGCGAUGAAGGCGUUGGAGUCCUUAAGCUUUGUCAUUUUGGAAGAAGGUGUUGGAAUUUGACGGUACCCAAGGAGCAAGCCCCGGCUAACUACGUGCCAGCAGCCGCGGUAAUACGUAGGGGGCGAGCGUUGUCCGGAAUUACUGGGCGUAAAGGGUGCGUAGGCGGCCCUUUAAGUCAGAUGUGAAAGUCCGCGGCUUAACCGUGGGAUUGCAUUUGAAACUGGAGGGCUUGAGUGUCGGAGAGGAAAGUGGAAUUCCAGUGUAGCGGUGAAAUGCGUAGAUAUUGGGAGGACACCAGUGCGAGCGACUACUCUNGACGAUAACUGACGCUGAGC